CCUACGGGGCGCAGCAGUGGGGAAUAUUGCACAAUGGGGGAAACCCUGAUGCAGCAACGCCGCGUGAGUGAAGAAGUAUUUCGGUAUGUAAAGCUCUAUCAGCAGGGAAGAAGAUGACGGUACCUGAGUAAGAAGCCCCGGCUAACUACGUGCCAGCAGCCGCGGUAAUACGUAGGGGGCAAGCGUUAUCCGGAUUUACUGGGUGUAAAGGGAGCGUAGACGGCUGCGCAAGUCUGAAGUGAAAGCCCGGGGCUCAACCCCGGGACUGCUUUGGAAACUGUGUAGCUAGAGUGCUGGAGAGGCAA
rnacentral:rRNA from 1 species